UACGGGGGGGGCAAGCGUUGUUCGGAAUUACUGGGCGUAAAGGCUCGUAGGCGGCCAACUAAGUCGGACUUGAAAUCCCCAGCUCAACCUGGGAACUGCGUCCGAUACUGGAUGGCUUGAAUCCGGGAGAGGGAUGCAGAAUUCCAGGUGUAGCGGUGAAAUGCGUAGAUAUCUGGAGGAAUACCGGUGGCGAAGGCGGCAUCCUGGGACC
rnacentral:rRNA from 1 species